GUUGUCGUGUGCAAGGGAGGUGCCUCUGGCAGCUCGGCUAUCCCCCGCCCGCGCCCUUACAGGCAGGAGAAAUGCUUCCAGCCUGCGUUGCACGCCGGGAGUUACAGGCGGCAGCCUUUCGGGGGCCAUUUUGGUACAUCGGAGUCUCACGUCUCGUCCCAUCCUUGUCCUCGUGUGACCUGCUAAAAGUUGAUUGUUCUAGUUGGGCGGAAAAGGAGGUUGCCUCAUUGUUUUCUCUGAUGUGAAGAACUGCCAUCAGCUGCAGUGAGCUCUCCCCCCACCCAAGAACAGAGAAAAGAAGAAUAAAUGGAGAGUUGGAUGAAGACUGACUGAGAGAUGUGGGCUGUGGGUAGCAUUGGGGCAUCCAAAAUGUUGGUAGUAUUGGGGUAUCCGAAGCAUUGGUAGUACUGGGGGAUCCAAAGAGCAUCAGAACAGGGCAUGGUCGGAGGGCAAGCAGCCACCUUGCUGAAGUGAAGUAGGGCUCGGUCUUGUCAGUGCACAGUUUGCAGAAGUGGGGCUGCUCUGUAGUGUCAUGUAACAUGUCUCUAUUCCAAGCUUAUUGGGUGGCUAUUUGCUUUCAAAAGUCUAAAAGAAGUUAAGAGUAAUCCAAACAGGAACCACGUGUAUCCUUAUACGACUUCCUAUUUUUGCUGACAGCAGCCCUUGUUGUUUUGCACUCUGCACAUGGUAUUCACUUCUUCCCUCCUAGCCAAAACAAUGAGCUCAUCUGCACCUGACUUUUGUUUUGAUUUGGGAGGAGGGAAGAGAUCAUGUAACUAAGGACAGAGAAGGAGAAAAUCUUGAGUGGAUACUAAAGUCAUUUGAUAUCUGGGACAGAGAAGUCAACUUGCAAGGCUUUUUCUAGCAAGUCCUCCUCCUCUGAGAGAGAGGUUUUUAUUCAGAAGCUUAUUUUUUAGGGUCUUUUGCUAUUUGCUAUUGCUACUGCCAUUUUUGAAACUGGAAACCAGUUCAUGAAGUUUUGUACCUUGACAUCAUGUCAAUGCUUGUGUUUUGAACUUUUAUUUACGUAUUGUGCCUUGGCCUAAUGCCAUUUUUUUUUGUGUUUGUUAAUUGACAAAUAAAGAUACAUUAGAAGAGA